rnacentral:snRNA from 1 species
CAUAACUAUAAUUAUAAA